rnacentral:pre_miRNA from 1 species
AUACUACUCCCUCCGUCCCAAAAUUCUUGUCUUAGAUUUGUCUAGAUACGGAUGUACCUAAUACUAAAACGUGACUUGAUACAUUCGUAUUUAGACAAAUCUAAGAUAAGAAUUUUGGGACGGAGGGAGUAGUAC